CGGCUGUGAUGACUUCUUAGGACACCUUUAGAUUAAACAUGAAAACAAAACAGAAUAAAUGAUCUGAGCUGU
ensembl:snoRNA SNORD58 Small nucleolar RNA SNORD58